GACGAACGCUGGCGGCGUGCCUAACACAUGCAAGUCGAACGGAGCAGAGACCUCGGUUUUUGCUUAGUGGCGAACGGGUGAGUAACGCGUGAGAAACCUACCUUUCAGUGGGGGACAACAGUUGGAAACGACUGCUAAUACCGCAUAAUGUAUCGAGAGGGCAUCCUUUUGAUACCAAAGAUUUAUUGCUGAAAGAUGGUCUCGCGUCUGAUUAGCUAGUUGGUGAGGUAACGGCUCACCAAGGCGACGAUCAGUAGCCGGUCUGAGAGGAUGAACGGCCACAUCGGGACUGAGAUACGGCCCAGACUCCUACGGGAGGCAGCAGUGGGGAAUAUUGGGCAAUGGGGGAAACCCUGACCCAGCAACGCCGCGUGAAGGAAGAAGGCCUUCGGGUUGUAAACUUCUUUUACCAGGGACGAAGAACGUGACGGUACCUGGAGAAAAAGCAACGGCUAACUACGUGCCAGCCGCCGCCGUAAGAC
rnacentral:rRNA from 1 species